AAGUCGUAACAAGGUUUCCGUAGGUGAACCUGCGGAAGGAUCAUUAACGAGUUGGGGGAAGUUGGUAGCCCUAGGGGCCAGGCGACCGGCCUCCCAGGGUGCGCUUUGGGACGGAGGAAAGACCCUGGAUCACUCUGAGUGCAAUGCGUAUGCGAUACGGAUCUCCCCCGAGAGACCGCCCACCCUUUGUUCUUGACGUAACGUUGUUUCCCUUGGCGUCCUCGGGCGCCAGUUUGGGACCCUAAACCCUUUGCAAUCCCAGUAUAACAGUCAGUCGACCUAAAAAGUCAAAACUUUCAACAAUGGAUCUCUUGGCUCUG
rnacentral:misc_RNA from 1 species